CACUCAGAGCACCAGCCAAAUUCAUCUGUCCCAAAUAUUGGUGGGAUCAAUGGGUUUGGGUUUUGCACAAUUGCUUUGUAAUCACCUUCAAUCCGGGUGAACUUGUCCAUAACUGUCUUCUGGCUUGUGACAUCUUGAGCCACAAAACACACCCCAACAACAUUUUCCUGAAUGUCCCUGCUUGAGCAAGCAUUAACAACUAAGCUGAUGGGACCAUCAUCAGCCUUGGAGCCAUGUGUUUUAAUCUCAAAU
rnacentral:misc_RNA from 1 species